CAAACGACUCUCGGCAACGGAUAUCUCGGCUCACGCAUCGAUGAAGAACGUAGCAAAAUGCGAUACUUGGUGUGAAUUGCAGAAUCCCGUGAACCAUCGAGUUUUUGAACGCAAGUUGCGCGCGAAGCCUUUCGGCUAAGGGCACGUCUGCCUGGGCGUCACG
rnacentral:rRNA from 1 species